UCCCUGGUGAUCCAGUGGUUAAGACCCUGCACUUCCACUGCUGGGAGUGCAGGUUUGAACCCUGUUUGGAGAA
rnacentral:tRNA from 1 species